UGUUUUGUUUUUGACAGCCUCUGUUGCCCACACUGGAAUGCAAUGCUGUGAUGCAAGCUCACCGCAGUCUCGAACUCUUGGACUCAAGCCAUCAGCUCGCCUCUGCCUCUUGUGUAGCUAGGACCACAAGCAUGAAUGAGUACAACUUGCCCCUACAUUUAUUACUUGAAUGAUUUUCUCAAGCUAGCCAUGCCAACAGGCUUUGUUAGUACCAUUUUAUAGAAAAACGUGGGAUUCAGUGUUUUGCUCAGAGUAAUUGAUGAAAUUGGUGGAAAAGCUACCUGGGCUCAAUCUAGCUUAAAGUUCUAUGCCCUUUGCAUUAUGUUCCUAUUCUUUCUACAAAUAACGUUAUGAUUCUAAAAAGUUCAGGGAGAUGGGCAAAUAGGUUUGCCUUAAUCUUAAGAACCUGCUACGUGCUGGUGGUCCAUCAGUGAACAAAAUGGACAAAGGUUGUGCUCUUUUAAUCAAGUUAUAGAUGAAACAAACUUAAAAGCCAGUGCUGGAGAUAAGAGAUGAUUAAGCAAACACAAAAAUAAACAUAUCAUUAACCUUGGGUGGAUCACAAUGGAGGAAAUGACCAAUGCAAGAAUAGAAAACAACACAGGGGCCUGCUUAGACAAUGAGCAUCCUGUCAGUCAUAGUCCCUGUACAACUCUGAACAAGCAAAAUGUGAGAAUUAAACAUUGUAUCCACUUCCUGCUCUCAAGUUAGUUACAUUUUGAAAAAAUUAUCAAGAUUCUUUCAUAUUCAGUUUCUUUAUCAGAAAGAUAGAAUUCAUCUUUUGAAGAUAUUUUGAGGUUAGAUAAUUUUGGUUGUGAAAAUGCUACACACUCAGACACACAUUAGGGCUUUAUUAUAAAUGGUUAAAACACGACCUACAGAAACUAGGCAAAGUACUCAAAAUAUAAAGAUAAAUAAGUUGAAAUUCUUACUCUUGGUUAAAGGGUAAAACAUAUCCAUAAUUAGAAAAUUACAUUCUGCCAAGUAAAAUAUAGAUAAACAUAGAGGAGAAACAUCUAACACAUUAAACCUUACUGGAGGAUAUGACAUUCCUCCCUGGAGGAUAUGACAUUCCUCCAACGUGGCAAAAAGAUUCCUGGUAGAACAGCAGAGACAGAAAGAUGGAGAUGGGACACAGCAUUGGUUUCUGGAAGUUAAGUGUGGACCAGUGCUGGAAGUACUUGGAAGAAGUAAAAGGGAUGGAUAAUGGACAACUUUUCACGCUUCCCUGUUAUCUCAUUUAAUUUUCUCCACUUAUAAGAAGACCAGCUUCACAUGUUAUCAUGGCUAUUUCACAGAUUAGAAAACUUUUGAGCAACAGUAACAACAAUAAAAAAGAACACUAGAUUCUAAGAAGAUAGAUCUGAAUACUUCAGAUUAAAGAGUAAAUAACUGGAGGUGAGGUUGAGAAUGGGAAGAAAGCAGAAAUACAAAAUAAUAGAGUGAUGAUCACAUCCCAUGGAAAAGGAGAGAGACUGGGCUGAUGGCCGGAGAGGUAUAUGGUCAAGGGAGAUAUUUUGCUUUAUUUCAUUUACAUAUGUCUUUAUACUGAAGCUUAAAGCAAGGAGGAAAUAGAAGGUACUGAAGAAAAAUAAUGAUUAGGAGAAGAGACUAGAAAAUAAGAGAGGUAAGGAGCAGAGGUGAAGUUAUUACCCUUAAUGCUAAUAAGUUCGUCAGUGUGUAUUAAGUAUUUACUAUGUAUGAGAAUCUGUUGUAAGUGCAUUAACAUGUUUAUGAGGUAUAUACCAUUUUUACACAACUUUAAAAAAGAGAAAACUAAUGUACAGUAAAGGUAAAAUAAUUGUCUCAAUAUUACUGAGCUGGUUAAUGCUGUAAAUGGGACUCAAUCACACACCACUAAGCUCUAUGAAAGUAAAGGAAGAAAAAUAUUACUCAGUUUGUAAUUUGUGACAUUGCCAUGACCACACACUAUAUAUAAUAUUCGUUCAUCAAAUCUAGAUACUAUAGUGACAUAGUUUAGAUCUAAUUAACAAGAGUGUGUUGAAAGCAAAAUCUUAUUUCCUAAAGUACAAUCCCUGUUAAUUUUUGUUUUCCUAGCAGAAUGAGACAAAGGAAAAGCUAAGAUGAUUUUUUAAGCACUUCAGUUCUUUCCUCCCAAUAUAUGACUAUUUCUAUCAAAUACAAAGAUGUUACGCAAUUUGAAAAAUAUUUUUCAGUUUUGGCAUAUAUCUGCAAAAAGGAUGUUAUCUUCAAGAAUCAUACGUCUUUUGAAAAAUGUUUCCAAGUGAUUGUUCCUGAUGCUGCUCUGAUCAAAAAUCAGGUUUGGAUGAAUGAAAAGGACAUUCAUGAGAGACUCCAGAAGAACCAGGCCUUUUCAGUGAAAGUAAACAACUUACGGAAUAAAGACGAGUGUAGAUCUGCUCUGACAAUGAUUAAAGGAAAGAAGACAUAUUGAUCUACUUUUAGCUCAGAAUUCAUGCAAGAAAUAAGUUUUUGUACUAAAAUGGUUUUAAAGUGCCCCUCUCUCUGCUAGAGUGAACAGAGAAUGCUGAAAGCCACAAGAAAAGGCAUUCACCAAAGAGAACAGAGCCAGGAGAGAGCCUCUGGGAAAGAGAAGGCUUUAGAGACAUCGUUUUAACUUGGCAGUAAAGCAAACAAGCAACAUAGCCACAGGACUGUUGGAGUGCGACAAUGUUUUCUCUAGAAAUAAACACUCAAGUCUUAAGGAUUUGUUUUGAGCAAAUGCAUAAGAAAUAAAACUUUUAUU
rnacentral:lncRNA from 1 species